AGGAAAUUCAAAUCAACUUCUAGCCAUCUUGGAUGAGACACAAAAGGACCAGUCCUUCAGAGGAGCAAAGACUCUUUCUAUGGGCCACCUAUGUGAUGGGAUUUACAGAUGGACUCUAAGAAGAUGCAUCCCAACUAAGGUCAAUACAUCCUGCAUCUGGAUUCCUUAUCUAUCCAACAUCAAAAUCUACAACUAUUUUUUAAGGAGAAGUAAGCUCAUUCUCCUUAGCACAGCAUUCUUCUUGUUUCUGGGUAAAAUAAAGCUGAAUUAAGAAUGCUUA